rnacentral:rRNA from 1 species
UACAGAGGGUGCGAGCGUUAAUCGGAAUUACUGGGCGUAAAGCGCGCGCAGGCGGUCUUCCAAGUCAGUGGUGAAAGCCCGGAGCUCAACUCCGGAAUUGCCAUUGAAACUGUGAGACUGGAGUACGAGAGAGGUGAGUGGAAUUCCCAGUGUAGAGGUGAAAUUCGUAGAUAUUGGGAAGAACACCGGUGGCGAAGGCGGCGACCUGGUCCUUGACUGACGCUGAGGCGCGAAAGCGUGGGGAGCAAACAGG